rnacentral:rRNA from 1 species
CAGCCGCCACGGUAAUACGGAGGGUGCAAGCGUUAAUCGGAAUUACUGGGCGUAAAGCGCACGCAGGCGGUCUGUCAAGUCGGAUGUGAAAUCCCCGGGCUCAACCUGGGAACUGCAUUCGAAACUGGCAGGCUAGAGUCUUGUAGAGGGGGGUAGAAUUCCAGGUGUAGCGGUGAAAUGCGUAGAGAUCUGGAGGAAUACCGGUGGCGAAGGCGGCCCCCUGGACAAAGACUGACGCUCAGGUGCGAAAGCGUGGGGAGCAAACAGGAUUAGAUACCCGCGUAGUCCCUGUCUCUUAUAC